AUUGAACGCUGGCGGCAGGCCUAACACAUGCAAGUCGAGCGGAUGAAGGGAGCUUGCUCCUGGAUUCAGCGGCGGACGGGUGAGUAAUGCCUAGGAAUCUGCCUGGUAGUGGGGGAUAACGUCCGGAAACGGGCGCUAAUACCGCAUACGUCCUGAGGGAGAAAGUGGGGGAUCUUCGGACCUCACGCUAUCAGAUGAACCUAGGUCGGAUUAGCUAGUUGGUGGGGUAAAGGCCUACCAAGGCGACGAUCCGUAACUGGUCUGAGAGGAUGAUCAGUCACACUGGAACUGAGACACGGUCCAGACUCCUACGGGAGGCAGCAGUGGGGAAUAUUGGACAAUGGGCGAAAGCCUGAUCCAGCCAUGCCGCGUGUGUGAAGAAGGUCUUCGGAUUGUAAAGCACUUUAAGUUGGGAGGAAGGGCAGUAAGUUAAUAUCUUGCUGUUUUGACGUUACCAACAGAAUAAGCACCGGCUAACUUCGUG
rnacentral:rRNA from 1 species